GAUCCUGGCUCAGAUUGAACGCUGGCGGCAGGCCUAACACAUGCAAGUCGAACGGUAACAGGAAGAAGCUUGCUUCUUUGCUGACGAGUGGCGGACGGGUGAGUAAUGUCUGGGAAACUGCCUGAUGGAGGGGGAUAACUACUGGAAACGGUAGCUAAUACCGCAUAACGUCGCAAGACCAAAGAGGGGGACCUUCGGGCCUCUUGCCAUCGGAUGUGCCCAGAUGGGAUUAGCUUGUUGGUGGGGG
rnacentral:rRNA from 1 species